CAGAAAAUAGUUUAGUUAGAAUUUUGGCCCUGGGUGUCAAUAGCGAGGAUGUAUUUCUCUUUUCUGA
rnacentral:tRNA from 1 species